AAAGAGAUGUCUCUCCGAUUAAGGUCAUUAUAGUCCACUGAGAGAUGGAACCAGAAGCACAGGGUUACUAGGAGUUCCUGAGUGAGUGUGCCAGUAGUGGGAAGAAGUGCUCUAUGUUAUCUCAGCUCGGAGACACAUUUCAGGAUCACCUAAAUCCUUUUGUUUUGUGUCUAUGUUGACCAGUUUAAAAACAGGAAGAGCAUCAAUACAGAGAGAAAGAAGAAAGGAGAGAAAGAAAGGAAGACAGAAAGAAAUCAAAAGCAGAGAAGUAUGUGAGUAAAACCCUCUCACUGUCUAAAACGUUUCAAGUAAAACAGCAAAAGAAAAAAAUUACUGGAGUACAAGCAAAUGUAUACCCUCAAUUAAUA